AGCGGCGCACGGGUGAGUAACGCGUACAUGACCUACCUCUAAGACUGGGAUAGCCCUGGGAAACUGGGAUUAAUACCGGAUGUGAUAAUAUGUAUAGAUAUGUAUUAUUAAAGAUGAGUCGCUUAGAGAUGGGUGUGCGUUUGAUUAGCUAGUUGGUAGGGUAACGGCCUACCAAGGCAACGAUCAAUAGGGGGCGUGAGAGCGUGGCCCCCCACACGGGUACUGAGACACGGACCCGACUCCUACGGGAGGCAGCAGUAAGGAAUAUUGGUCAAUGGACGAAAGUCUGAACCAGCCAUCCCGCGUGCAGGAUGACGGCCCUAUGGGUUGUAAACUGCUUUUGGCAGAGACGAAACGCCUUCAUUCAUGAGGGUCUGACGGUAUCUGCAGAAUAAGCACCGGCUAACUCCGUGCCAGCAGCCGCGGUAAUACGGAGGGUGCAAGCGUUAUCCGGAAUCACUGGGUUUAAAGGGUGCGUAGGCGGGGAAUUAAGUCAGUGGUGAAAGCCUGUCGCUUAACGAUAGAAUUGCCAUUGAUACUGAUUUUCUUGAAUUGGGUUGAGGUUAGCGGAAUGUGACAUGUAGCGGUGAAAUGCAUAGAUAUGUCAUGGAACACCAAUUGCGAAGGCAGCUAGCUGGGCCUUGAUUGACGCUGAGGCACGAAAGCGUGGGUAGCGAACAGGAUUAGAUACCCUGGUAGU
rnacentral:rRNA from 1 species